AGUUAAUUAGUUUAAGAUAAACAUAUAUUUUGAAAAUAUAGAAAGAAGGUUUAAUUCCUUCAUUAACUU
rnacentral:tRNA from 1 species